rnacentral:rRNA from 1 species
GAUGAACGCUGGCGGCGUGCCUAAUACAUGCAAGUCGAGCGAACGGACGAGAAGCUUGCUUCUCUGAUGUUAGCGGCGGACGGGUGAGUAACACGUGGAUCACCUACCUAUAAGACUGGGAUAACUUCGGGAAACCGGAGCUAAUACCGGAUAAUAUUUUGAACCGCAUGGUUCAAAAGUGAAAGACGGUCUUGCUGUCACUUAUAGAUGGAUCCGCGCUGCAUUAGCUAGUUGGUAAGGUAACGGCUUACCAAGGCAACGAUGCAUAGCCGACCUGAGAGGAUGAUCGGCCACACUGGAACUGAGACACGGUCCAGACUCCUACGGGAGGCAGCAGUAGGGAAUCUUCCGCAAUGGGCGAAAGCCUGACGGAGCAACGCCGCGUGAGUGAUGAAGGUCUUCGGAUCGUAAAACUCUGUUAUUAGGGAAGAACAUAUGUGUAAGUAACUGUGCACAUCUUGACGGUACCUAAUCAGAAAGCCACGGCUAACUACGUG